rnacentral:rRNA from 1 species
GCUCAGAUUGAACGCUGGCGGCAUGCCUUACACAUGCAAGUCGAACGGCAGCGCGGGAGCAAUCCUGGCGGCGAGUGGCGAACGGGUGAGUAAUACAUCGGAACGUGCCCAAUCGUGGGGGAUAACGCAGCGAAAGCUGUGCUAAUACCGCAUACGAUCUACGGAUGAAAGCAGGGGACCGCAAGGCCUUGCGCGAGUGGAGCGGCCGAUGGCAGAUUAGGUAGUUGGUGAGGUAAAGGCUCACCAAGCCUUCGAUCUGUAGCUGGUCUGAGAGGACGACCAGCCACACUGGGACUGAGACACGGCCCAGACUCCUACGGGAGGCAGCAGUGGGGAAUUUUGGACAAUGGGCGCAAGCCUGAUCCAGCCAUGCCGCGUGCAGGAUGAAGGCCUUCGGGUUGUAAACUGCUUUUGUACGGAACGAAAAGGUUCUUUCUAAUAAAGAGAGCUCAUGACGGUACCG